GCCUUGGUCUGCAUUUUAAAUUCAACUGAAUGUUUGAAAGGGGAGAUGGAACAGGAUGGUAAUUGUCGGUAGUCCUCCCCCUAUCUUGAAGGGAGUCUCCUCCGUUCCAUAAAUUACCUUGGAUACUUCCGGAUCCAAUGACUAUACCAACAAAUAUUGCCAAUCCCCAGUUGCCUGUGGAGAAGAUGAUGUUUGACCUUCUUGAACUGCUGCAGUCCGUGUGGUGAAAGUGCUCCCACAAUGCUGUUAGGGUGUUAGAAGAGGAGGAUUUGCAGUCGGGAAACUGAAACCAAACAUCACAUCAGGAUCUGACGGAGCCGCCCAAUUUAUCAUAAGCUGAAUAUCAUUGGAUUUUGAACAUGGAAGGAAAAAGCACCGUUCACAGUGGGGAGAAACCGUACAUGUGUUCCGUGUGUGGAUGAGGCUUCAAUCAAUCAUCUGUCUUGUCAAAACACAAGUGAAUUCACACUGGGGAGAAACCAUGGAAAUGUGGAGAUCGUGGGAAGGGAUUCAGAUCCCUGUCUGACCUGGAAACUCAUUGGCGCAGUCACACUGGGGAAAAAAACCAUUUACCUGCUCUGAGUGUGGGUAAGGAUUUACUCUCAGCUAUCCCACCUGCAGACACACUAGCGAAUUCACAAUGGGAAGAGUCUGUUCACCUGCUCCGAGUGUGGGAAGGGAUUCCCUGAUGCAUCCAGUUGACACACCAGCAAGUUCACACUGAGGAGAGACCUUUUAAAUGCCCGUUGUGCGGGAAGUGCUUUAAAAGUUUCAGGGAACUAAUAUUCCAUCAAUGUGUUUACACUAAUGCUCUCGGUAUGGGACUGGGUUCAGGCGAUCAUCUGAACUCACUCCACACCAGCCAGUUCACACUGGUGAGAGGCUGGUUCACCUGUUCUGUGUGUGGGAAGAGAUUCACACAGCCAUCCAACCUGCUGGCACACCAUAGAAUUCACAUUGGGGAGAGACCUGCUUAACGAGUGGGAAGGGAUUCUCUACUUCACCCUACCUGCUGAGACACCAGCGAGUUCACAAGUAACGACAGUGAUUGGAUUUUGCUGUUAAUCACAUCCAGCACUGAGCCAUUUUCAUUGGAGUCUGUUUCUGCUGAUGUCAAUAAAUGUGUCACGACUCACUGGGACUCGUGCACUGUAAUAUCAAGCCCCACUGCUCCCCGAGCCAAGACAAACAUGAGAAAUUUUAUUAGACCACCAUUUUAUUUGCCCCAAUUCUACCUAACUUUUUAAUGUAGAUUAACAGAAUACAAGCACCAGGUUUGUAAACUUAACAAGU